rnacentral:tRNA from 1 species
GGGCAUGUAGCUCAGUGCUAGAGCACUUGCCUGGUAUUCAUGAGGCCCUGGGGUCCAUGCCUA